AAAAUGAUUGUACAUUUGUAGAUGCAUCAGUCACCAGUGCCUGCCAAGAAAGAGGAGCCCUAUGACUGCUUUGCGUAUUUGACAAGUACUUCUUCUAGUAUGUAUAGAUGCUCCUGCCUGUGUUUCAAUGAUGGACCGGCACAAGUUAUAUAAGGGCUCAAAGACUCCAAGAUAUGGAAUAAACCAGUAAGCACAAAUGGCAUAUCCUGAGGAUUAUGCUGUGAACAUCCAUCAAGGGCUGCUUUUCAGGGAUUUUGUUGGGGCCAGGGCUCAUUCUGCUGCUAGAUUUUUCUCCUCCUUAUCCGAGCCUUGAAAGCGCUCUUUCCUAGCAUAUGAGAUUCUUCCACUC
rnacentral:lncRNA from 1 species